rnacentral:rRNA from 1 species
AUGCCCGCUCCAUUGCAACGCCGCCGUACUCAACUUGUCGCGCCAUCGACAGCAUCACCUGCUCCAUUGCAGCGUUUCCGACUUCGUAUGCAGCGCGGUGAACUGCCUCGCAGCACAAUCGCCGCCGCCACACACGGUGGCCUUCGCAGCUCUCCUGGACCAACGACACGCAACACCGUCGUCGUGGUGUUGCUCUGCAGCUGGACGAGGAGGCUCGCAACACCGUGGCCCCCGACGCUUCACCGGUCGUCGUGGUGGUCUCGCUGCAACGGAUCACAACAUAGCCCCCUCCCCCAUCUGAAGCGGCGGACGUCGGUCUGCGGUGGUGCCCAUGUGCGGGUGAUGGAGAUGAGGCAAGGGCGACGACUAGCAAGAAAAAAGAAUGAAUCAGAGCAGCAGGGAGUGGCGCGCGUGUGA